AGUUUUCUCAGAAGCUGAUUCACCUGUUUGGCCACCAAGUUGCCACCUUGGCACAAAAACGUCCUCCUCAGGCAAUGGGCUCCUCACAGCUGAGUUGUUGCUUGCCUUGGUGUUCCCUGCCAUGUGUUUGAAGAGUCCCAGGUGGCUCCUUUGCUGCUUGCUUUCCUUCUGCUCCAACUUCAGGACUUGAUUUGAAUGGGGACACCUUCAACUGCGCUUCAUUGAGGUUCCCAGUGGCUUCCAGCUACCCGAGAGCUGCUCUGCUUGUGGAGGAGCCCACCAUAGAGGCAGGUGAUGAGGACAGGCAGAGGGACCAUCUCAUGUUCCUGAGCCAGUUUUCAUUAAGGAAUAAGCUCCAUUCCUGCACUGCCAGCAGGGACCGCCUGCGGAAGCACCCAUCAAUUCACUGCCUGUGGAAGGCAGCAGGGUAACUGAGUUACUCCUCGCUGUUUUGCUUAGGUAGGUGGAUGUGCCUGAAGGAUGCUGCACUGCAAAGUAAGUCCGUUCGUAGAUUUAUUGUUGUCUCACAAUCAAUUAUUGGCUUCAUGAGGUUGUCUUACAGUUGGCAGGACACCAAUUACCCAAAUGUCACCUCUUCCCACGCAGGAUGGAGAGCCAGCACUGCCAGCUCCCACACAUAGCAGCUACUGACCUGCUCUGACAGUCAAAAUCUUGUUCUGGAUCGUAGAUGUUUUCCACACAAUUAAAAGCAGAUUACAGGAGCUCAAGUUCCAUCGGACAGCUCAUGCCACAAAGACCCACAUCUGCUUCUGUAACAUCCAUCAUUGUGAUGCAUUAACCAUUCAGCACAAGACGAUGGAUUUAUUCUUUCUUCAAAUAAAUGGAGGAAGUUUUGCAUAUUUUCUUUUUUUUUUUUCCUUUUAUGUGGGGUUUUUCCCCUCUUUUUUCCUGGACAAUCCUUUCCAUAAUCAGAAAACUGGCCUGACUGUACAGCCAGGAAAGCGCCACAUAAAGAGCGUUGUGCUGAUCAGCAACUCUCUUCCCUGUAUAUAUUUAGACCAAGACAUGCUGAUUUUUAACUUUGGUGUCACAAACAACUAUCUGCUGCUUUGUUUGAUCUCCAGAGUGAAUGUCUGAUUACAGGGAGAGCAAAACCAAGCUGGAUUCUGUCCCACCUUGUUCCCGGUGACACCUUCGUGAGCUUGCCGAGGUCGGUGGCGUUACACAACACGGAGGAUGGGGUAUAAUUUGCCCUGCGAGUCCUUUGUUACAGGCUGGGA